UAACCAUGGUUAGGGCAUAAGUUCAAGAAUUUAGAAUAUCUUUCCCAAGCUUUAUAUAAACUUUCACCAUCUUCCUGGACGAAUAAGGUGAGGUUUCUUCUUAAUUUA